rnacentral:rRNA from 1 species
UCACCUACGGGGGGCAGCAGUGGGGAAUAUUGCACAAUGGGGGAAACCCUGAUGCAGCGACGCCGCGUGAGUGAAGAAGUGAUUCGUCACGUAAAGCUCUAUCAGCAGGAAAGAAAAUGACGGUACCUGACUAAGAAGCCCCGGCUAACUACGUGCCAGCAGCCGCGGUAAUACGUAGGGGGCAAGCGUUAUCCGGAUUUACUGGGUGUAAAGGGAGCGUAGGCGGCUGUGUAAGCCAGAAGUGAAAGCCCGAGGCUCAACCACGGGACUGCUUUUGGAACUACAUGGCUUGAUUGCAGGAGAGG